AUAAGUCCUACUCAGAGUAGACCCAUUGAAAUUAAUGAACCCAAGUCAGUCAUGUUCAUUAACUCCAAUGGGCCUAUUCUGAGUAGGGAUACAAU